rnacentral:rRNA from 1 species
AGUGAACGCUGGCGGUAGGCCUAACACAUGCAAGUCGAACGGCAGCACAGUAAGAGCUUGCUCUUACGGGUGGCGAGUGGCGGACGGGUGAGGAAUACAUCGGAAUCUACUUUUUCGUGGGGGAUAACGUAGGGAAACUUACGCUAAUACCGCAUACGACCUACGGGUGAAAGCAGGGGAUCUUCGGACCUUGCGCGAUUGAAUGAGCCGAUGUCGGAUUAGCUAGUUGGCGGGGUAAAGGCCCACCAAGGCGACGAUCCGUAGCUGGUCUGAGAGGAUGAUCAGCCACACUGGAACUGGGACACGGGCCAGACUCCUACGGGAGGCAGCAGUGGGGAAUAUUGGACAAUGGGCGCAAGCCUGAUCCAGCCAUACCGCGUGGGUGAAGAAGGCCUUCGGGUUUUAAAGCCCUUUUGUUGGGAAAGAAAAGCAGCAGGUUAAUACCCCGCUGUUCUGACGGUACCCAAAGAAUAAGCACCGGCUAACUUCGUG